rnacentral:misc_RNA from 1 species
GAUGAAGAACGUAGCGAAACGCGAUAAGUAAUGUGAAUUGCAGAAUUCAGUGAAUCAUCGAAUCUUUGAACGCACAUUGCGCCCGCCAGUAUUCUGGCGGGCAUGCCUGUUCGAGCGUCAUUUCAACCCUCAAGCACAGCUUGGUGUUGGGACUCGCGUUAAUUCGCGUUCCUCAAAUUGAUUGGCGGUCACGUCGAGCUUCCAUAGCGUAGUAGUAAAACCCUCGUUACUGGUAAUCGUCGCGGCCACGCCGUUAAACCCCAACUUCUGAAUGUUGACCUCGGAUCAGGUAGGAAUACCCGCUGAACUUAAGCAUAUCAAUAAGCGGAGGA